rnacentral:tRNA from 1 species
GAGGGUAUAGCCCAAGUGGUAGAGGGCAUGCCCACCAUGCACAAAGUCCUGGGUUCAAUCCCCAGUAUCUCCU